AAGCUUUAUAAAGAUAGACAAAACAUAGAGGAUUUUUAAAUUCAUAGGUGUUCUGGAUGAUGAAACCUAGCAUAUUCAUAGAUCUAUUUUUUAUUCAAGAAAUAUGUUCUUUAAACUUGAGCUUUUGAUCAAAAAGUACACCAAGAUCCUUUACGAACUCAACUCGCAUUAAAAGAGAAUCAUGGAGAGUGUAGUGAUAAAGAAAAGGUUGUUUCUUAUGAGAGAAUGUAAUUAUGUAGCAUUUGAAGAAAUUGAGAACAAGUUUGUUAUUAGAGCACCAGAUUUUCAGAUCAUCAGCAAAUAAUAAAAAUUGAGCAGAAUGGAGAGCAAGAUGGAUAUCAUUAAAAGAGAGAAACAAAACUGGUCCAAGAUGAGACCCUUGCGGGACUCCCGAUGAAGCCGCAAAGGGACAUGAUUU